UGUCUUUCGAUAAUGAUGAGCAUUAAUUACUGCGUUAUCGUAUUGAAUGGCUGUUUAAGUACAGCAUAUCGGAAAACAAACCAUACAGAUUUUUUUAACUACUGAGAUCGAAACAUG